GUAUCGCUCGCGAUCUUAGACACAGAAACGGACGAACUCGACGCUGAGUUUCUUGAAGCCGUAACAGAAAUUGAAGGCAAGAAGUCGUUUCCUUGCUCGUAUUGCAAUAAAGUUUGUAAGUCGAAAGGUGGCUUAACAAAACACACGAAUUCCAAACACCGCGAAGCAAAUGUCAAUAUGCCAACCGAAUCGGACAAAGUUACAGAAG